rnacentral:lncRNA from 1 species
UAUGGGAGAAUUAAAAAAAAUGAUGAUUCAGAAUCAGAUAUUGCACGCUGUGAAAUAAAAUAUGUGCAGAGUGCCUUUAUAGCUCAGAUUAUUAAUACUAUAGCACAAUUAGAAGAGGUUAUGUACCAUUUUACAUAAGAUUUUGGGAGGUUGUUCUGAUGCAGGAAAAAGCAAAAAAUAAAAAAACCUUAUCUCACCCAAAACUGGGGGAAGUUACAAGCAGAAGAGGUCAUGUACCAUUUUACAUAAGAUUUUGGGAGGUUGUUCUGAUGCAGGAAAAAGCAAAAAAUAAAAAAACCUUAUCUCACCCAAAACUGGGGGAAGUUACAAGCAGAAGACAAGGGUGAUGAUAUCAACAGUUGAAAGGAGUGGAAUGUUGCAUAUCCUAACAAAAAUCUGUGUUAGACUGGGUAAAAAAAUUAAAAAAAAAAAAAAGCGGCUGAAGGACCUAUGAAACCAGAAGAGAGAACUACUCUGUGUCUUACUUUGCACAGAAAAACAGAAUAUAGGAUAAAGAAUAUCCCUUCUCCUUUUAUUGGUCAGAAAGGGCUAUCAAUUAUGAAAAGUUGACAAAACUAGGGCAUACAGAAAGAAAGGAAUACUUAUGUCAUUUUUGACUCUAAGAGCAGCAAGCCCAUU